GAUGAACGCUGGCGGCGUGCCUAAUACAUGCAAGUCGAGCGAACAGACGAGGAGCUUGCUCCUCUGACGUUAGCGGCGGACGGGUGAGUAACACGUAGGUAACCUACCUAUAAGACUGGGAUAACUUCGGGAAACCGGAGCUAAUACCGGAUAAUAUUUCGAACCGCAUGGUUCAAUAGUGAAAGAUGGCUUUGCUAUCACUUAUAGAUGGAUCUGCGCCGUAUUAGCUAGUUGGUAAGGUAACGGCUUACCAAGGCAACGAUACGUAGCCGACCUGAGAGGGUGAUCGGCCACACUGGAACUGAGACACGGUCCAGACUCCUACGGGAGGCAGCAGUAGGGAAUCUUCCGCAAUGGGCGAAAGCCUGACGGAGCAACGCCGCGUGAGUGAUGAAGGUCUUCGGAUCGUAAAACUCUGUUAUUAGGGAAGAACAAACGUGUAAGUAACUAUGCACGUCUUGACGGUACCUAAUCAGAAAGCCACGGCUAACUACGUG
rnacentral:rRNA from 1 species